AUGAUCACUUCCGUGGGGAACCCCCCUCCUCACCCGAAGGCUCGGAGGUUACACCCAGCGGGUGCGCCGGGUGCGCCGGCACGCCUCGCUGGGAAAGCACCACGUGGGCCACAGGCUCGCGACCGGCUGCCUCUACUACAUCGACGGCAAAAACCCUCCGCCCGACUCUUCGAGUCGCCCGGAGGCUCGGAGGCUACACACAGUGGGUGCGCUGGCGCGCCCCCACUGGAAUCAAGCCUCGCCGGCUGCAGCCCGCAGCCGGCUGUCAUCGACAACAUCAGUCGGUGGACCCCGUGUCCGCGCCCGACGGCAUCAGUCGGCGGACCCCGGGUCCACGCCCGACAGCAUCAGUCGGCGGACCCCACGUCCGCGCCCGACAGCCUCAGUCGGCGAACCCCGUGUCCGCUCCCGACAGCAUCAGUCGGCGGACCCCGGGUACACGCCCGACAGCAUCAGUCGGUGGACCCUGGGUCCGCGCCCGACAGCAUCAGUCGGUGGACCCCGGGUCCGCGCCCGGCAGGGCUCCGUGCCCACCAGCUGGCGGACCCCGCGUCCGCGCCUGGCAGGGCCCCGCGCCCAUCAGCCGGCAGACUUCGCGUCCGCGCCCGGCAAGGCCCCACGCCCAUUAGCCGGCGGACUUCGCGUCCGCGCCCGGCAGGGCCCCACGCCCACCAGUCGGCGGACUCCGUGUCCGCGCUCGGCACCCUCGACGUCGUCGUCGGCUUCAUCAUCAACAACAAGACCCUCCGCCCAACUUUUCCAAGUUGCCCGGAGGCUCAGAGGCUACACCCAGCGGGUGAGCUUGCGCAAACCCACUUGGAACAUGUCGCGCCUGUUGCACGCCCGUCGUCGGCUGCAAUCGACCCCUUGACGCCAUCGUCUGCACCAACAACCGCGAAAACCCUUCGCCCAACUUUUCCAAAGUUGCACGGAGGCUACACCCAGCGGGUGCGCUCGCGUGCCCCCGCCGGAAGCAAGCCGCGUCUGCUGCAGUCCGCAGCCGGCCAUCAUCGACAUCUUCUACAUCAACGCCAGCUGAAAAACCUCCGCUCAACUUAG
rnacentral:rRNA from 1 species